GAUAAAAGGGUAGAACAAUUGCGGAACCAGAAUUUAAACAACAAAGCAAGGUAAAAGCGGAAGCAAGCAAAAACUAUAUACAUAAAAGAUCCCUCCCAAAUUAUGAAAGUCACAAGUACAGAGUUGUUCUAACAAAAGAAUACAAGUCCCAAAAGUAGUUCAAUAGCAAGCUUGUCUCAAAAUACAAAAAACUAGAUAUACAAUAUACAAAGGAGACAUGCUAGUCUAGAACGUCGAGUGCUCACCCUCACCUUCGAUCCACAAAAGUUGUUGCAGGCAUGAACGGUCAUCACUGGUAACUGGUACUAGGGCCUGCAUCACGAAACAGAUGCACAAUGUAGCAUGAGUACCAAAACAAAGGUACUUAGUAGGCAUCAUAGGUUGACUGAGAAAGAAAGGUAAAAGACAAUAUGAAAAUAUAGAAUCUAAACACAAAUAGAGGUCAAAGCAAAAUUUAAGGAAAAGCACACGAGCGUACCAGAAAUAAAAACUAAGUACAACUAAGCUAAACCUAACUGGACCCCCAUAAGCCUAGAAGGUACACUCGUGCGCAAGUUUAAGUAAAACCCGAACGGACCUCCAUAAGACCAACAUGUACACAGAAUAGCUAGCUAAUAAGACUGAAGCAUGGUGAAUCCAUGUCCAAUAAGUGAAAACUUGCCUCUAACCACAAGUACCCAAUGAAAAGGGCCGCCUAGCAAGCUAGUAAACUCCUACGGACUUCAGCUGCCUAGCUAGCAAGAGUUAACCCAAGGGAGUCAAUAAUACCAAACCUCUUACCCUAAGUAACCAAUCAAGGCCACCCAGCCAACCAGUAAAAUCUCAGGGCAUCAACCGCCUAGCUAGCAGAGUAAACCCGGGAGGGGGGGGGGUGUCGCCUCCAAAAGAGGAUCUCAUCAACACCAACAACAAUAACACUAUUGAACGACGUCCACUCGCAAGCAACCCGCAACAACGCUCCAAGCUCGAACCAACUCCAAUCUCAAGUUGUCCAGUGAAGCGCCAAGCUUCAAAUAUCGUAACGGGGGCGUAGAAAGAGAGAGAGAGGGCAAAAGGUCGCCAAAGUAGGGACACCGCAUAAAAUAAGGCUCAUUUUAUCAGAGUUAAGUCUGCUACACUAACAUACAAGGAACUAAGUCAUCCAAAUCGAUGCCGGAGAAGAAACAAGGCCUAGACACUAUAAAUGUCGCGAGUCUAUGGAAAGAACUAGUCUAAGCCUAUACUAAGGCCAAAGAUGCUCAAUUAUACAAUCACAACAACAUACAAGUCAAAACACAAGAUAAGGAUAAACACAUAACCCCAGCUAGCAUGGUUCUAAUCCCGAAAUAAUGUCAAUCAAGCCUAAAACAUGGUUUCUAUGAAAUGAAAUAAGAACAACUAGGUACCCGCCCAAAUUGACUCUAGUCAACAUAUGUUCACACAUUCAAGCUCAAUCUAGGAGACGGAAAGUCAUAGCCUACCUUAAGGAUGACCGCACGUGCUCCAAAUCACAUGUCCCGAGCUUUUCCUUUACGAACAACCUCAGAAUGCAGCCCCGCUAUUAAAAAUAGGAUCACAAUGUUAAUACGAUCGUUUAGACACCAAAACCAUAUAAAACAAAGACGGAUCAAUUUUGGAAUCAAACGGAAAUCAUGGGACCAAUGCCAGAACUUCUGGAUCGACUCAGUCAAAAGGUCUUAAAUAGUACCCCAAACUUGUGUUCCAAAAUGGAACACAAUUCGGACCUCGAAACAACAAGAACAAACAACAUGCGACAAUUUCACCAUUAAAGACAACAACUAAGCUAAGGUACCCUACAAUUGCACGAAUUUACCUCAAAUGAGAGACGCCUAACACUUUUUUAUCACACCACUGCAUAGA
rnacentral:lncRNA from 1 species